CCCUCUCCAAGCCAUUCACCUGCAAGUGGCCCUCCCAGCAGUCAAUACCAAAUGCUGCUGCUGGCUGAGCUGCCUGGGGUUGCAAGCGUGCUUUACAUCCAGAAAAAGCUCUGAUGUCCUGCCAGCAACAGAAAAGCAGUCUUCCAGAAGAAUCUCCUCCUUAGCUUGAGUGCUUCCAGGCUUCAGACAUGUCUGAGAUCAACUCACCUGAGAGGCCCAGAGGCAUAGAACCCCAAGGGAGGGCAUUCUACAGGAACCUACAAUGCCCAGGUUAGUGAGGCAACAGCAAGAUGGAAUGAAAAGACAGAAGACCUGGAUCUGGUGGAAGAAAGGACCCAUGAAGACAAAAGUGCCUCGGGCCCAUGAAAGUUAUAUAACGCAGACCUGGCUGAACGGUUCUGACUGAGGCUCUCUAGGGAGUUUUCGAUCAAGCUGUGGGCUGGG
rnacentral:lncRNA from 1 species